rnacentral:rRNA from 1 species
UACGUAGGGUGCGAGCGUUGCCCGGAUUUAUUGGGCGUAAAGGGCGCGUAGGCGGCCACGCACGUCCGUUGUGAAAUCGCCCGGCUCAACUGGGCGGGGUCGGCGGAUACGGCGUGGCUGGAGCAAGCUAGGGGGCAAUGGAAUUCCCGGUGUAGUGGUGGAAUGCGUAGAUAUCGGGAGGAACACCUGUGGCGAAAGCGGCGCACUGGACCAUAACUGACGCUGAUGCGCGAAAGCUAGGGGAGCAAACAGG